rnacentral:lncRNA from 1 species
AUUAGGGUUUUAUUUAGGAUUUAGGAUUUAGAUUAGGAUUUAGUUAGAGAUUAAGAUUUAAUUAGGGUUUGAUUUAGGAUUUAGGAUUUGAUUUAGGAUUUAGGAUUUGGAUUAGGGAUUGAUUUAGGGUUUAGGAUUUGGAUAGGGUUUGGUUUAGAAUUUAGGAUUUGGAUUAGGAUUUGGUUUAGGAUUUAGGAUUUAGGAUUUAGAUUAGAAUUUAAUUAGGGAUUAAGGUUCGAUUAGGAUUGGAUUUAAGAUUUACGGUUUGUCUAAGGUUUGAUUAAGGUUGGAUUAGGAUUAAGAUUUGGUUAGAAUUUAAGGUUCUA